rnacentral:lncRNA from 1 species
UAAAAGUUAAGAAAUUGAAUUUCUCUUUCUUGUUGCAGUACUUCUGAUCUACGUAACUAAUAUAAGAACCCGAGGUGUCUGAACAAGCGAAACUCGCAUUUUUCUUAUACACAGGCUGGUGUUUCUAUCUCUUUUGAUGAUACAUUGCUGCAAGCAAGGAAAUUGAACCGAAAAUUCCCCAAAAAGGCUGAGGCAGUUCCAUUUAGGCAAAUCUUUUCUUGCUUUGGUUUCUUUCAUUUCUUUUGUGAUGAAUCUCAUUUUGCCAGGCUUACAACUCUGUUUGCUGUAAUAAAACUUUGAAUGAUAGGAAGAAAAAGGAGAAGGAAAAAGUGAAAUUGGGAACAGUCCAAGCAAAGCUGACAGCAUAAAUGGAACUCUGGAACUUAGAGCAAAAUCCUGGAGAUCUUAAGCUGUAGAUAUGGCUUACCAGAAAGAGGAAAAGAAAAGUGAUUUGGGUCAUAUUCAGUUUAUGAUUUGCAUUUACGUUCCAUGUGGUUCAUUUCUGCUGUAAACUUUGAUUGCACUGCUCCGAACCGAUUCACUUUUUUCUUAUCCUUUUUCUUCUAAUCAUUAAAUAUCUUUGAUACUGCAUACACAAAGGAAGAUCUUCAGUUUAAGGUAUUCUCUCUUGAACUUUCGGUUCACUUUCCGUUCCCUGCAAACAUCAGAAUCAAACCAUCAGUUUUGAAGUGAAGAUCAUCUUUUGAAACAGGGUAAGAGGAUUUAAAGGAUUUAUGUAUAGGUUAUUUUCUUAAGUUUUGUCAACUACUUUUUUAGUUUCUUUUUUUUUUUUUUGGGGGGGGGGGGGGGUGGGGGGGGGGGUGGGGUUUGGCAUGCCUAUGAUUUGUGACAAGUGGUGGUAUUUGGCUGGGAAAGAGUUCCUCUGUUUAAAAAGCAGAACAAAUGAUAAUUUUGGAACAUGUUAAUAUGUCAAUUUUUUGGAACAUUGCAUUUGGGACAAUGGAUUUUACUUUUGAUUUGUUAUAUAAAUUGUAAGCAUAACAUAUUAUAUAUAAAUUAUUUAUAUGUUUAUAAUGAUUAAAAUUGUGACUAUGUUUUUCAAACUCAUUGGUAUUACAAAUGUCAUAUAGUAAUCUGACUGUAAAUUUCAAAUUUGUAAUUUAUUAGUAGUAAUGAGAAUAACAACAAUGGUUUAUAGGAGCCGGAGUUAAAAGAGUAAACAAAAUCGAUACAACUUAGAGUUGUUUUUUUUUUUUAAAUGGUUUAUGCCUGAAUUAAAAGAAAGAUAUAUUCAAAGAGUCGGCAAUAGGUCUGUCCACCAUUCGAGGUCUCGUCACGUCCUAGGCAAGAUUUUCUGUGCUUGGACCAGUUCGAUACGACUUUUGCGAUUGGACGACCAAGCCUUUUUGUAAGUAAGCAUUAAGAAGGGUCAAUUAGACCUAGCCCGACCCAACUAUCUAUGAACGCUUCUAGUGCAUAAUUAAAUUAUUCGAAGAAUUAUUGUUAUGAAUAAUUUUAAUAUUAUAACAAAAUAUUUAAUAUAAUAUUUAAAUAUUAAAAUUUUUUAAUAUAAUAUUAAAAUUAUAAAUUUAUUGAUUAAUAUUAUAUUUAAAUAAUUUUUUAUUCAUCACGUAUAGAUUAUUUAAAAUUAAUUAUAUUAAAAAUAAAUAUCAUAUUAAUUAAUAUAUUUAUAAUUUAAAUAUUAUAUUAAACCUUUCAUGAGAUUAUUUAUGAUGCCAGCCUAACUAAAAGAGUAAGAAACUUUAUUCUUUUUUCUCUUACCUCAACUGCGAGCUGAAGCAGUGCUUCUUUCCCGUUUUUUAAAUCUCUGUAGAAGGUGGAUUCCAUCUUGUGUGUUUAUCCACCCUUCUUUCCUGUUUUUCCUGGCCGUUUUUAAAUUCCUUUAUGUAAUUUGUAGCAAAGCUAGCAGUUACCUGAGGAAUUAUCAACUCCCUUUCUUUGACCAGCACAUUUCUUCUAUGCCAAAUUGCCCAGCAGACAAUUAAGCCCUUUUCGAAGCCAUCAGUCUUCAGCUGGUUCGCCAUCCUAAUUAACCAAUCAUUAUCUGCAGUGUGGGACUACUCCAUCCAUUUGUUGUCCACUUCCGCAACUGACCAGACCUCCUUUGCUUUGUAACAGUCCCUCACUGCAAGCAUGACAGUCUCCUCAUGUUGUCCACAUUGCGGACAGUGUUGAUGUAUCAAUGGGUCUCUUACACAAGUUGCUAAGAACAGGUAAAAUGCCAUGGUUCAGUUUCCAGCCGAAGACUUUAAUUUUCCCUAGGAGACCUGCCUUCCAUAACUGUGCCUAGAACCUUCUUGCAUUAUCAUGAUUCCCUUAUGCAUUAAAUGUCUGUUGCUCCCUUAGCUUUGCAUAAUAAGCACUUCGAACUGUAUAAUGCAUUUUUCGCUCACGGCCCCACACCAGUUUGUCACUGUGGUUGAGACGACCUAGAGGGAUCUUUGCAUAUAUCGUCUGCCGGCUUGCCUCCAAAGAUUUCCUGGAUGAGCUCUUUCUUCCACGUCAUGUUUACAUGCUCUAUUAGUUCCGCCACAAAUACAUCUGCAUGCAAUCUUUUUUGGUUUGUUUGGAAAGCUAACACUUGGCCUUCUCCCAUCCAAUCAUCCUGCCAUAUUCUUAUUUGUUCACCAUCCCCCACCUUUCACUUUAGACCAGCUUUUAACACAUCUUUAGCUAUUCAUAUACUCCUCCAAGUGAGGGAGGGUCUAGUUCCCAGCGAUGCCUAUAGAAAGGUAGUGCCUGGGAAAUAUUUUGCUUUGAAAACCUUACACAACAAGGUUUCGGCAUGUUUUAAUAAUCUCCACCCUUGUUUUCCCAGUAGGGCUAGGUUGAAAGUUUCAAUGUCUGUAAAAUCCAUCCCUCCAUCAAGUUUUGCCAUACAAACCUUUUCCCAUUUCAACCAGUGUAUGCACCUCCCAUCCUUCUUUGAGCUCCACCAGUAGUUUUGCAUAAUACUAUUAAUUUCCUCACAUAAUCCUUUUGGAAGGAGAAAACAAUUCAUUGCAUAUGUAGGAAUAGCUUGCAAAACUGAUCUCAUGAAUAUCUCUUUCCCCUCCUAAGAUAGCUAUCUUUUGCUCCAGUGCAUUGCGUGCAUCUUAACUCUAUUCACCAGAUCUAUGAAGUUCAUUAUAGGGGAAUAGGUCUUUAGCAGCAUUUUUAUUUCCCGUUUAAACGUCGCUAAGAGCGUCGGUUAUACCUGCGUUAGGAAAAAUAAUAGUAUUUUAGGAAAAAGCAUUUGUGCAUGAAAACAUCACUAAAUUUAGCGGCAUUUGUGAGUACAAACACUGCUAAAUUUCUCAUUUAGAGGCACUUAUGUCAAAAAACGCCACUAAAUUUUGUAGCAUUUUUGGACACAAACAUUAGUAAAUGAGAAAACUUAGCGUCAAGUGUCUCUAAAUUAAGAAAUUUACUUUUUUUUUUUAUUUCUUUCAAUAUGCAUUACUAUAAUUAAAUAAAAAAUAGAUAAAUAUUUGAAUUUAAAUUCAUAAACUAAAUAUUAUAAAUAUUUAAAUAUCUAAAUACAUAAUUUGUUCUAGUAUGCAUGCAAUACAAAAUUUAAUAUAAUAACAUUCAAAUUGUUUUAGUACAUUAACUAGAAAUUUAAAAUAUAUGAAAUUGAUGACCACUUAGACUUGAAGCAGUGCUAUUUGAUGAAUGAUUUUUUUCACUAUGCUCACUAGCGUGCUCAAGAACUAUUGAAUAAAAUAAAACAAGUUUUUACAUUUUAUAAUAAGCUAUUUAUGAUAUUAAAAAAUAUAAAUACUAAAUGCAAAAUGCAAAAUGCAACUAAACUUGCAAAACUAAAAAUAUAAAGCUAUUAUAGACAAAUCGUGACUUCAUGAACUAGAACAAAAUCUGAAUGGCAACAAAGUACAUGAAAUCAAACUUAAAAUUGCAAAGACAAGUGAAGAACUAAAGUAAGAACAAGUUUGAACUUCCAAUGUGAAGCAAAAAAUGCAAAAACUCAAAAUGCAAGUUGAAACCGAAAAUGUAAAGAAAAUCUGAAAUUUGAAUUUGAAGCUACUGAUCUAGGUCUAAAUGAUGCAAAAUUAAUGGAGCAUGAGCUGGAAAUUAAAAGAGCAUGUAUAGAACUACAAUAGAAACUAAUUUGGAAGAUCAGAAACUGAAGAAAAAUCACAAAAAAUUACUAAAACAAAUCAAAACAGAAACUAAGUUGCAUAAGAAUUUUACUAAUUCAAGGAGAGAAAAAGCUAGAUUUGGAAACUCCGAAAGAGAAUGAACUAAUUGAGCUAAGGUAAGAUUCAUUAACAAGUUUACAACAAAAUUCAACAAAAAAAUAACAUCAAAUAAGAAGAAAUCUAUCUCAUUGAACUAACAACUCAAACAGUACACAAAUAUGAAAAAACAGAGCUUGUUCAAAGAAAUCUAUCCAAACAUUAGGUAAAUUCAUGAAAAUAAAUGCAAUCAAUUGAAAACUAACAACUAAACAUAUAAAUCUAAGACUGAAGUGAAAAAGAUGCAAACCAAAUGCCAAGGAGGAGAGUAUAUCCUUGUUAUGUUGUGACUCAUGCAAAGAACUAAUCUGUCAACUGAGUUUAGGCAUGACUUUGGAGAAUUUUCUGCACUUGUGCGGAUGGAAUUUGAAGCUAAUUUUUUGUAAAAUUAAAGAUCUAUGAGUUAGGAAUCUAACAAAAAGCAUUUGCCUCAAAACAAGUUAGAAUUCAUCAAAAACUGAUCCAAAAACCACAAAGAGGUCAGAACUGCGAAUUUCAAAAGGAUCUAAUCUGUCAACUGAGUUUAGGCGUGACUUUGGAGAAGUUUUUGUACUUGUGUGGAUGGGAUUUGAAGUUAGUUUUUUCCAGAAUCAAAGAUCUAUUAGUUAGGAAACUAACAAAAAAUUUGGCUCAAAACAAGCUAAAAUUCAUCAAGAACUGAUCAAAAAACCACAAAGAAGUCAAAACCGCGAAUUUCAAAACAAAUUUGAAGAACACAUGAGUUCAAUCGAAAUUGAAUGCAAAAUGUAAGAAACUUAAAAUUUCAUUAAGAAAAUCUGAAAGUACAUUGAAAAUUGAUGCAAAAAAAAGUAAAAUUUGGAUAAUUAUCACAAUAAAGUUCUUAUGGUUCAUAACUGCAACACAUUAGCAUCAAACGUAAACAUAACAGCCUAAUAAUCAAAAUGCAUGAGCUUAAAAAGUACCUAUGAUUCAAUAACAAAGGAAUCUAUCUAAAGCUAGAGUCCUACUAUAAAAAAACAAAAAAUAUUGAAUUCCUUUAACAAGAUCAUGUAUGUAUGUAUGUAUGUAUAUUAAACUAGUAAUAUGAUUAGAUUACAUAUGCUGACACAAGUAAACAUCCAAGGAACCUUAUUUUUUAGCUAUUGGGCUUGUGAUAAUUCUAUUUUUUAUAGAAUUAUCAUGAACUUAUUGUAUAAAUUAACCUGGGCCAGUUUAAAUUUUAUAAAUGUAUUUCAAAUUAACCUGAUUGUCUAUUUCUCUUGACUCAUGAUGUUCUGUCCCUACCACAUAAAGGCCACCAGCUGCCACAACCUGCAAUGACUUAGAAAUUAAGAAAUUGCAGGUAACGCUAAAAUCAAUUAAAAGUUUAUUCAGGAGGGAAAUGUGAACCUGUUCCUCUCUUCUUCAGUGUAGACCUUAUAUUCCUUUACAAUUUCUAAAAACGCACUUCGCAGCUUGCCUCUAAUUUCAUCCUGUGUAGGUCAGUGUAAAUAAAAAAGUAAAAUAAUUACUGUUUGGUAGUGCAUCUGAUACAUGCUAUUUGGUAAUUUAUCAAAGGAUUCAAUAAUUCUUAACAGGAACAAGGAGAUUCAAAAGUGAACAAGUCAUAUAUACGUGCAGGAAAUUCUUGAGUCUAUAGUACACCUUUUCACAAGAAUAAGACAGGCGCUCUUC